rnacentral:lncRNA from 1 species
AGUUAUUUAUUGAAUUUAUGACUUUCGAGUUUACAUUUGAAAAGUAACGAAUAGAGAUUUCUGAUUUUUUAUUUGUUUAUUUUAUUUUGGAAAAUCGGGGUAUUACAAGAAUAGCUAGGGAUAUCAACUUCGUAUAUGGCUGGUAAAUCAUAAAAUAAUCAUGAAUCGGUUCUAGCAAGCAUUUCUUUUGAAUCAAUGCACCAACAUCGGAAUCUCUCUUGCUACUACGGUCUAAGGGAAAAUCCGAAGAAGAAAACCUAUAAAUCUUUUGGAUUCAAGUCGCCAGAUGAAGAAGAUUUUGUUCCUAGGUGGAGAUUGUGGAAAAGGGUUCGAUACGAGAAAUUUCUUCUGAAUCAAUGAGUGCUCCCA